rnacentral:rRNA from 1 species
GAGUUUGAUCGUGGCUCAGAUUGAACGCUGGCGGCAUGCCUUACACAUGCAAGUCGAACGGUAACAGGUCUUCGGAUGCUGACGAGUGGCGAACGGGUGAGUAAUACAUCGGAACGUGCCCGAUCGUGGGGGAUAACGAAGCGAAAGCUUUGCUAAUACCGCAUACGAUCUACGGAUGAAAGCAGGGGACCGCAAGGCCUUGCGCGAACGGAGCGGCCGAUGGCAGAUUAGGUAGUUGGUGGGGAUUAAAAGCUUACCAAGCCGACGAUCUGUAGCUGGUCUGAGAGGACGACCAGCCACACUGGGACUGAGACACGGCCCAGACUCCUACGGGAGGCAGCAGUGGGAAUUUUGGACAAUGGCGAAAGCCUGAUCCAGCCAUGCCGCGUGCAGGAU